CCAUUUAAUUACAGUUAUGAGACGUGCAAAGAGUUGAAAACUCUAUUUGAAACAGUUGUUGUAGUAGUCCCACUCCAACUUCCCCAAACCAACUUUCCCAUCCUUGCGCUCCAACUUCUUCCCGUUCCUCCUCCACUCUCUCUCUCUAUGGGUCUUACUCCUCCAUACAAAAACCGAAUCGUUGCCUAAAGUAAUGGAGUCCAUCCCAUCGUCGCCAAAUCCCAUCAUCUUCUCGAACCAGUAGUUAUGUUGGAGAGACAUCGACGUUGCUGCGAAGAGAGAGGAAGAAGAUGAAGAUAGUGACGUACAACGUGAACAGGCUCAAAUUGCCAAAUUUAUAAGAUCGGCUUACAGGAAACCAAACUGCAACGGCGGGAAUUGACCGCCGCCCUGGUCAUGGCAGAGGGCUACGAGUCAUUCUCCUGCAACCGCACCUCCGAAAGAGGUUGCACCGGGUACUCUAGUCGACGUUAUAGGGUGACGAAGUGGCGUUGCCGGUGGCGGCGGAGGAAGCAUUCACUGGAGUUCUUGACAGUGGGAAAGGACAAAUGAAUGCAGUUGCGGAAGGGCUUAAGGAGUUUUCGAGAGAUAACCUACUGAAGUUGAUGGCAACGGGCGGUGUGUUGUAACGGAUCAUGGGCAUUUUGGUACGUUUGCCUUAGAUUCACGCUUAAAAUUCAAUUCUCUGUGAUUUCAUUUUUUGGAGAAAGUUUAAAGAUUUGUAUUUACAGUGGUUGUGUAGUUCUCUUUUCAAUUUAAAUGACCCUCGAGCAAGGAAAAAUGAAACGGAAGGGAUACAGUUUAAGUUCAAGUUUUUCAAUUUGUAGUUCUCUUUUAUAUCAUUCAGAACGUUGGGCAGAGGAAAUCCUCAAUCUGCAAAACAAGUUAUUGCAGGUUUGGAGUUACACUUUAUGUUUAUUGUAAUUAGUUGAAUGCAAGUGUAUUCUGGGACAUGCGUACUUUCUGUGCAAACUGAGUUAGAGAGGGAGCGUAUGGCUUUGGAGUUGGAGGAAAAAAAAGCCCAAGCUGAAAGAGAGAAGAUGGUGCAACAGCAAGCUAAGAAAAUUGAGAACCUCAGCUUAAUGGUGUUGUAUUCAAAUAGAGAUAGAAUCGCGAUUGCUUUAAAAAGGUUUGCAUGACUAAUUAAUUUUCAUUUCAAACUUCGGUAUAAUAGUUGAUGUUCAUAUUUAUGUUCGAUUCCUAAUUUUGUUGUUCUGAAAAUGAAAAAUACCUACUUAAAAGUGUAAAAUUCUAUUAUCUAUAAACACAAAAGAUGUGCUUGAUAUUAUAAUGUGCCGUUUCCAAUGAGAUAAGAUUUAGUUAAACACUCUCUGUUGAAUCGAUAAUUUUAGCACGUUACAGGUUAGAAGACGUGGUCGACAGCCACCAAUGCCAACUCAAGAACUCAAGACAAGCUUCCAAUUUUGCCUUCACACGCUUCCUCUCUUUUAUUUGGAGCAAUUGGAGAUGGCAACCCAAAAUAAUAACUAGCCAAGGUAUAAUUCAGUUUUCCAUUUUAUUAUUUGUCAUUUGCAGAGAGAUAAAUAGAGCAGUUAUGUACUAUGAGUAUCCGAUUUCUUUGUUUACAUUGCGGGUAGUCAAAUGGUUGAAACAGUUUGUUGUUAAA